rnacentral:rRNA from 1 species
GUACCGCUUUGCAUGGCCCCUUAUCGGGCCUGGUACUCGAGUACUUUACACACUCUGAAUGUAAUGGAAUGUCUUUUGUACAAUGUACAACUAAAACAACUUUCAACAACGGAUCUCUUGGCUCUCGCAUCGAUGAAGAACGCAGCGAAAUGCGAUAAGUAAUGUGAAUUGCAGAAUUCAGUGAAUCAUCGAAUCUUUGAACGCACCUUGCACCCUUUGGUAUUCCGAAGGGUACACCCGUUUGAGUGUCAUUGUAAUCUCACUACAACCACUUUAUUGUUGUUUGUAUGUGGACCUGGAUGUUGCCGUGUAACAAACGGCUCGUCUGAAAUGCCUGAGUGUACCCUGCUUUUGUGGCGUAUUCGGUGUGAUAAAUCUUCAUCGGAGUUGACUUUCGGGUCACGUCUGCUUAACAUGGCUCUAUGCUUCCAACCGUCCUAACAAGACAAUCUUUGACAAUUUGACCUCAAAUCGGGUGGGACUACCCGCUGAACUUAA